GCAAACUUGGUCAUUUAGAGGAAGUAAAAGUCGUAACAAGGUUUCCGUAGGUGAACCUGCGGAAGGAUCAUUAACAAAUCAUUUGUAUGGGAAACCAUACAUAUUUACCCCAAGCCUAGGAUGUGCUUCGGCGCAACACUGGGCUUUGGUUGGGCUGCGCUCAUUCGUGAGUGCGGCUCCGGCAUGUAUGCUUCGGUGUACUAGCCACAUAGACGCUUGUAUGUUUGACAGUUUUAGUUGCUUUAAAAAUGACAACUUUUAACAAUGGAUCUCUUGGCUCUUGCAUCGAUGAAGAACGCAGC
rnacentral:misc_RNA from 1 species